GCUCAGGUGGUGCAACUGGUAGCACAUCAGGUACAUAACGGCAGGCAGCCUUAGGGUGUUGCAGGUCCUUGCGACCACUGCCCCCCGGGUCGUUGGGGGCCUGGGAAGUGUCCUGAUGAUCAAGGUUCAAGUCCUUGUCUGAGCA